rnacentral:rRNA from 1 species
UACCAGCUCUCCGAGUGGUGUGGAUGUUUAUUGGGCCUAAAGCAUCCGUAGCUGGCCAAGUUAGUCCCCUGUUAAAUCCACCGAUUUAAUCGUUGGAGUGCGGGGGAUACUGCUUGGCUAGGGGACGGGAGAGGCAGACGGUAUUUUCGGGGUAGGGGUGAAAUCCUAUAAUCCCGGGAAGACCACCAGUGGCGAAGGCUGUCUGCUAGAACGCGCCCGACGGUGAGGGAUGAAAGCUGGGGGAGCGAACCGGAUUAGAUACCCGGGUAGUCCCAGCUGUAAACGAUGCAGGCUAGGUGUGUGGACGGCCACGUGCCGUUCUAGUGCCGCAGGGAAGCCGUUAAGCCUGCCGCCUGGGGAGUACGGUCGCAAGGCUGAA